rnacentral:rRNA from 1 species
CCGCCGUGAAUACGUUCCCGGGUCUUGUACACACCGCCCGUCAAAUCACGAAAGUUGGGGGCAGCCGAAGUGCCCGUAUGGGCCCUAAGCUGAAACCAGCGAUUGGGGUU